GGAAAGUUUGACGUGCAUCCUCUGUCAGGAAUUUAAAAGUUAUCGGUAAUUUGUAUUCAUAAUUAAUCAAUUUUUGUUUCGUCUGUGGAGAAGAGGAAGUAGCAAAAAUGUGAUCUUUUCCAAGAAAUAUAAACAAAUCAAAAAUUUGACAAGAAAACUAGGAAUGAGAUUCACAGGAGAGAAUCUCUGAAAUUAUGGAAUAUGCUCUAAACAUUUCACUUCGUAGUCAUAUAUUGAUACAAUAAAGCUUAGGUUUCUUA